UUAUUGCUGUAUUUUCUAGAUGGACAAGAGGAAAGACCCCUCAUCAGUAGACAUCAAAAGCAUCCUGCUGAACAUGAGGAAAUACCGAAUGGGUCUGAUUCAGACUCCUGAUCAGCUGCGAUUCUCAUACAUGGCUGUCCUUGAAGGGGCAAAGUUUAUCAUGGGAGACUCAUCUGUACAGAAUCAAUGGCGGGAAUUAUCCAAGGAAGAUCAGGAGCCGCUAUCAGAGUCUCCCCCUGCACCUCAGCCACAGGCCAGGUGUCCGACGGAGCGGCACAAUGGCAGCCAGCAGGAGGACGGAGGGGACUACAGACAGGACAGCAAAGCGCCUGCACAGUCUCCCUGCAAGGAGCAGGAGCUCGAUGGCAGCACAGCACAGUCAGUACACAAACGACGCAGGGAAGACAGCAUCUCCAAAUCGAGCACAGCCAAGACACCCCAAAGCAAGUCCAGGACAAAUGACUCUGAGAGGAAGAGAAAAAGUUUGGGCUGCAUUUGCUGCACAUGACAAGAGCUCGGCUGUCCGGCGGGGGGCGGUGUAUCUUUACCCCCCUCUGAGGCAGCAACGACAACCACGGAGAGCGCGUUUAACGGACGAAGUUUACCCGCAGCUUUAAAAAAAACAAAACAAAAGAAAGAACACCCACUCUUGUACAUGGAGGGCGAAAACCAGCGACUACUAACCACCUCCACCUGCAGCCACAACUCUGGCAGCAAAGCCAACAUCGGCAGGGAACUCCAGCUCUCUCCCAAUCUUCCUCAUCUCCAUGUCCUCAGCUAGCUCUCCUUUUCCUUUUCAUUGCUUGUGUGUCUUUUUUUUCCCUUGCAUACCGACCUAUCAUCAUUAGUUAGAGCCAACAUUUCUGUUUCUUCUACCAUCAGGAACACAUCACGUCCACCUCCGGCUCACCUUUCCGAUCUCUCAUCCUCGUUGUUUACAGUGGACACUUUGACAUUCGUUUAAAGACAAGCACACCAGCGCUUUACCCCUCUGGCCACACCUCAACCUUAAACUGUCAAUGCUGCUUCCGGAGUCAAAAGAUUUGUUUUUUCUUUCUCUCGCUCUCUUUUUGGCAUUAAUAAUAUUAUUUUGCAGCUUUCUCAUUCUUUUAUGCUCAUUUACAUUCAUGAAAUUCAGACUGAAAAUAGGGGCUAUGCAUUGCCAAUUUGUAAUGCUGUUUAUAUGUGUAUUUUUGGAAAAGGGUAAAAAACAUUUUUUCAGAGGCAAAAGU